CAGUAGCCGCGGGAAUACGAAGGGGGCUAGCGUUGUUCGGAUUUACUGGGCGUAAAGCGCACGUAGGCGGACUUUUAAGUCAGGGGUGAAAUCCCGAGGCUCAACCUCGGAACUGCCUUUGAUACUGGGGAUCUUGAGUCCGGAGGAGGUGAGUGGAACUGCGAGUGUAGAGGUGGAAUUCGUAGAUAUUCGCAAGAACACCGGUGGCGAAGGCGGCUCACUGGUCCGGAACUGACGCUGAGGCACGACAGCGUGGGGAGCAAACAGGAUUAGAUACCCCCGUAGUCCCUGUAUCUUAUAC
rnacentral:rRNA from 1 species